rnacentral:misc_RNA from 1 species
AGCAGCCGCGGUAAUUCCAGCUCCAGUAGCGUAUAUUAAAGUUGUUGCAGUUAAAAAGCUCGUAGUUGAAUUUCGGGAUUAAUAUGUUGGUCGUGCCUUGGUACGUACUGGCAUUAUUGAUUCCUACCUUCUGAAGAACCUCGAUGUCAUUAAUUUGGUGUCUUGGGGAAUCAGGACCGUUACUUUGAAAAAUUAGAGUGUUUAAAGCAGGCUCGCGCUUGAAUACAUUAGCAUGGAAUAAUGAAAUAGGACGUUUGAUUCUAUUUUGUUGGUUUCUAGGAUCGACGUAAUGAUUAAUAGGGAUAGUUGGGGGCAUUAGUAUUCAAUUGUCAGAGGUGAAAUUCUUGGAUUUAUUGAAGACUGACUACUGCGAAAGCAUUUGCCAAGGAUGUUUUCAUUAAUCAAGAACGAAAGUUAGGGGAUCGAAGACGAUCAGAUACCGUCGUAGUCUUAACCAUAAACUAUGCCGACUAGGGAUCGGAUGAUGUUAAUUUUUAAUGACUCAUUCGGCGCCUUAACC